rnacentral:rRNA from 1 species
GACGAACGCUGGCGGCGUGCUUAACACAUGCAAGUCGAACGGAAAGGCCCUGCUUUUGUGGGGGGCUCGAGGGGCGAACGGGUGAGUAACACGUGAGGAACCUGCCCUUGACUGUGGGAUAACUUCAGGAAACUGGGGCUAAUACCGGAUAGGAGCUCCUGCUGCAUGGUGGGGGUUGGAAAGUUUCGGCGGUUGGGGAUGGACUCGCGGCUUAUCAGCUUGUUGGUGGGGUAGUGGCUUACCAAGGCUUUGACGGGUAGCCGGCCUGAGAGGGUGACCGGCCACAUUGGGACUGAGAUACGGCCCAGACUCCUACGGGAGGCAGCAGUGGGGAAUAUUGCACAAUGGGCGGAAGCCUGAUGCAGCAACGCCGCGUGCGGGAUGACGGCCUUCGGGUUGUAAACCGCUUUCGCCUGUGACGAAGCGUGAGUGACGGUAAUGGGUAAAGAAGCACCGGCUAACUACGUG